AAAGAGGUAUGGCUCGAUCUUCAUUGUAGUCAUAGGUGUCUACAUGACUUGACACAGUAGGUACAUCAUUGCACAAUGCAAGGAACCAUGGUGCCUCAGUGAUUUCAUAUUUUCAUCAUCUUCUCAGGCGCUUUAAUUUCGUAUUUCUUUAUUUCUAUGGAUUCAGAUAUCUUGACCUUUAUUUCACAUAUUGUAGCGAACAUGACCCCAAAUAGACCAUUUGUUUGUGAUUUUAGUAAUUAAUGUGAUAACAUGAUCAUUAGAACUAACAAAAUGUCGAGAAUAAAUCUUGAAGGUAUUAUAGGUCCUAAGGAUGCAAUCACAACAAAAAACAAGCAAAGAAUCAAAGAAAACAACCACCGACGCAUUGCACCGACACAAUUCAGGGUCCCAUCGAAUCCGUCGGUGACCU
rnacentral:lncRNA from 1 species